GUGGCAGGGGGGAGAGGCACACACAGACGGGUGAAUAAACACACGCGCUUCUAAAGGGAGGGGAAAGAAGGGAGGUGGCCAAGGGAAGAGCUGUCCAGGGUGCUGAAACAGAGACAGAGGUGUGCUACAACUCACGCCACUAGGUGCAUGGGGAACUGAGACAUCCCAAGUACUGAGACAAGGGGAGGGCAAGAGACGAGUCUAACCCAACGAAGCUUCAGCGACUGUCCUUCUCCAGCAUCACCUUGGGCAGGCAGCCGGUCCAAAGUGCAGCCGAACGUACUAUGGAAGAGGAGAAAUAUUUACCCGAGCUGAUGGCAGAGAAAGAUAGCUUGGAUCCCUCCUUUGUUCAUGCAAUGCGCCUUUUGGCUGAAGAAAUUGAAAAGUUCCAAAGCUCUGAUGAGAAAAAGGAAGAUGAAGAGAAAAAAUACCUUGAUGUCAUCAGCAACAAAAAUAUAAAACUGUCAGAAAGAGUAUUGAUUCCUGUCAAACAGUAUCCAAAGUUCAAUUUCGUGGGCAAAUUGCUUGGUCCAAGAGGAAAUUCCUUGAAAAGGUUACAAGAGGAAACAGGUGCAAAAAUGUCAAUUCUCGGGAAAGGUUCUAUGAGAGACAAAGCCAAGGAAGAAGAAUUAAGGAAGAGUGGGGAAGCCAAAUAUGCACACUUGAGUGAUGAACUACAUGUAUUAAUUGAAGUGUUUGCCCCACCCGGGGAAGCUUAUUCACGGAUGAGUCAUGCUUUGGAAGAAAUUAAAAAAUUCCUCGUUCCAGACUAUAAUGAUGAAAUCCGUCAAGAGCAAUUGAGGGAAUUGUCAUAUUUAAAUGGUUCUGAAGAUUCAGCUCGUGGUCGAGGCAUUCGAGGAAGGGGGAUCCGGGUACCACCUGCAGCUCCUUCAAGGGGCCGCGGAGGUGUGAUUCCUCCUCCUCCACCUGGACGAGGAGCUCAAGCACCAAGAGGAAGCCCUGUGACUCGUGGGGUACUUCCGGUACCUCCUGUAGCCAGGGGUAUUCCAAACCCUCGAACAAGAGGAGUUCCAUCCAUACCAGGUUACAGGCCACCCCCUCCACCAGCACACGACGCCUAUGAAGAAUAUGGAUAUGAUGAUGGAUAUGGGGGUGAAUACGAUGAGCCAAGUUAUGAGGCAUAUGAUAAUAGUUAUGCUACACAAACACAGAGCCUGCCUGAAUAUUAUGACUACGGUCAUGGAACAAGCGAAGACGCUUAUGACAGCUACGCACAAGAAGAGUGGGCCAUAACCCGUCCCAGCCUAAAAGCACCACCUCCCAGGUCAACCAGAGGGGGUUACAGGGAACACCCCUAUGGUAGAUAUUGAAGGUCCUCUUCAUCUGUGACCUCAUCUUAAAGACAAUUAAUAACCCGUGGUCUCCACAUAAGCGGCAACAAGACAAGGGUCCAAACACAAUGGACAGCAAACCAGCAGGCAGUUACAUAAUGCCCAGGUAAGCAAUAAAUACAGUACAGUACUUCAUUUUUAUUUUUAUUUUUAAAAGGCAUUCCUUUUCCUCAGUUCAGUUGGCUGCAAUCCUGUGUGCACUUAUUGGAAAUGAAGCCCUCAUGAACACAGUGGGACUUACUUCUGAAUAAAGAUAUUCAAAAUCAUGCUGCAAAUCAUUUAUCAUGUAUAAGAGGUUAAAGGCAUCCAGUAUCCUAUGCAGUACAUUUCUGCCUGACAAGAAAAAAUGUCAGUAAGGGGGAAAGGCAUAGCAUAUAUAUAUGUCUGCCUGUUGAAGCAGUUUCUGGUGUCUAACCAAUUUUACGGAAAUGAGCAUGAUAUAUUGAGUCAUUUUUCUUUUUAAGGCAGGAGCACUUUUUUGAAAAUCAUCAUAUAAAUUUUGUAAACAAACUAUUCACUGGGAGCAGAAAGGCACUAAAUUUACAAAUUGUUUUUUGGAAUACUCCCUACAUAGGAAGGUUUGUGCAUUUUAUUAUUGGUUGUUUUAGCCAGUGUUUGCAUUAAAUAUAUGUGUGCUAGAUUCAUGACAGUAGAUCACUUUCAUCUUCUUGAUUCCUCUUUAUUCCACUUUGCAGGUGAAGCCAUCGCAAAUUGGCAUUCUGUCAGAUUAUAUAAAGUUUGUGCCAGGAGAAUUUAUUACUCCUCCCACUCCUCUGAUGGAUUUUGUAUUCUGAUAUAACUUUUUCACAUGAGUUCCCCCACAGGUAUACCUCCAUGGAGGAAAACGUUACAUUGGAACUAGGCGGGGACGGGGUGGGGGGAAAUGAAACUUUCAGUUUAUCUUCUUCAGGGGCAUCGCAAGGUUGGAGCGGGCCCAGAGACAAGAUUUUAAAAUCCCCCCCCCCCCCCCGCAGCUCAGCUCAUGAAGUAAAGAAAUCUUAAAUGAGGCUGAAUAGUGGUAACAAAAAGCAUAGUAAAAUCGGAGGAUGAACACAACUGAAGGAAGCCCGGGCAGGUGCGUGGCUGGGGGUGUCAUUCAUGUGACUUGCCUCUGGGGUCCCCCAAGGCAGGGGCCCCCGGACAACUGUCUCCCCUUGCCCUAUUAUAGUUACACCCCUGCUUCUUCCUCCUCAUGAUAUUCCUGAGGGCAAAGAUUGGAUUUGUGGAGAACUGGCACUUAUAUUCAAUACAUUGAAUAGCAGUAAAGCACCUAAAUUUAAAAUUUUUCACUUCAAGGAGAAGAUUCACAUUUUGAUGAUAUUUCUGGAAUAUUUAUGAUCCUAUAAUGACAUUAGCUGUGGGGAAAGUAUGUUGUUCCCUAUUAGUGACUCUCUCAUAAAGAUAAUCACUAAGUUUACAUUAUGGCCACUAGUUUAAGGAGUUGAGGUUUUGAUACUGAUAGAAUUAUAUGAUAUUUACCUCAGAAAGAGGUGCCAUAGUUCAUAUUUUCAAACUUUCUGCCAUCAGGCAUCCCUUUCCACACUGACUUGGUGGUUGAGGAGCCUCUGUACAUCUGCUAUAGAACGCUUGUGCAUUGCAAAUGGUUCUAGGGAACGUUCAUAGUCAGCUCACACAGAUCCCUGUCCAAAACUGUUGGUUAUUAUCAAUGUCCUGCAUGAAUUAGAACACCUGACCCUUUUAAGGGGAGGACUGUGUAAACAAGAAAUAAUAAUAGAAUAAAUGUAUUAUCAUCUCAUAAGUUUGUUGUAAAGGGCAAACAUGAAUUCCAGAACACUUUCUACAUUCUAAAGCACUUUCUAAAAUUUCCUACAUUAAGAAUCAUAUAUUUGCUGCAGAUACAAUAAUAAAGUAGUAUAAAACAUUGUACCUGACAGCUCUGAAAGGGUUCCAGCUUUUGAUCCUCUUCUGCUGACUCUGGUCCUUGUCUCAUUAAAAGGACAACAUCUCUACCCUUUGCUUAGCAGGUGCUCAGGAGUAUACCCUUAUGCCAAGACUACUCCUGGUCUGUUCAUAAGAGGAACUUUCACAGAUUGGUGUUUAGGAAGUCCACGACAUUUCCUUCCCAGUACAGCAUAUGUACAGGAUAUUGCUCUUUCUUAUCUAGGAAUCUUUUGCUUCCGGCCUGGCAACUCAUUGCACACCUGUAGUGCUGUAGGCUGUAGGCUGUGGGGAAGCCUAUAGAACAGGGUCUGCUAACCUUGGGGCCCCAGAUGUUGGUGGACUACAACUCCCAUCAGCCCCAGCCACAAUGGGCAUGGCUGGGAAUGAUGGGAGUUGUAGUCCAUCAACAUCUGGGGGCCCAAGGUUAAGAAACCCUGCUAUAGGACAAAACAAGGGCUGUUGCUGAGCUAUAGGGAAAUAUAAAAACCCAUAAGGAAACCCCAAAGAAUGGUCCAAAGGCACAUAGCUAAGUUUUACUACUCAGGCUAAGCUGUUCUGGCCUUGUAAGAUACUUGAAUGGGAGACCACUUGGGGAACAAAUGUAAGCCACUCUUACUUCCAUAGAAGAAGCACACAUUCAAGUCUGAUAAAUAUAAAUACGUCAACAAGACCAAACUUGACCAUGAUUAUCAUCAAAAUGUAUUAAUAGCAGAAAUGUUUGUCAAAGAACAAAAAUCUGGCCUAAUAGUCAAAUAUCUCCGUUAUCUAACAUACAGUGAGUUAUUGUCUCAUUUCAUCCAUAGGAUCAUUAUUGUUUCCAGUGAAUUGCAUGGGCUUUGGAAUGGACUGAGUGUGUUACACAAAAAGCAGAGAUUUGGUUUAACACUGUACAAGGAACAAAGCAAGAGCAUUCAAAAAGGACACCCCUCCACACACCUGAAAUUGAAGAGGCCAUUUCUACCACCUCUGUCUCACCUCACUCCCAGCUCAUCUUGCUGCACGUAUAAAAGAGUCAGCAAGUGAUGAAAUAUAAAGUGAUAUAUGCACGUGGGAAUCAGUCCUCAGACUCUUCAUGAAUCUCUAGCAUUGGUACAGAGCACUUCAUUAUAUGCACGCUCAGAAACCCUUAAACGGAUGAGGCAGCUAUUUGCAUCUGAUAGGAGCUAAGUGGGACAUUAAAUUAAUGCCAAACAAGAGAUACAGAAGGAAAGGUGUCUUCCAUAAAAAGGUGGAAGGAGCUGAUAGGUCACCCUCUUUCCCACCCAGCUCUGUAUUUAUUAAUGGAAACCAAGAGAGGUUCAAGAUGUUUGCCCUGAAAAACAAUCAAUCAACUGCCAUCAGGUUUGUUCAGGCAAAGGACAGCUGUAAACCAGGAAGAAAUGCAAGGGGCAGCAAAUCAAAACAUUGUGUUUAAAAAGGUCAAGAAGAUAUUUACCUCCUUAGCAUUCCAAGGAGGAAUGACUUGAACAUCUUGGCAUUAUUCUUCCCUGAAAGGUGGAGC